CAAUCUUCUUGUUCUUUAGCCUGGGUCAAUAUACAUCUCACAACUCCUAGAAAUUCAGACGUCUCAAUGAUUUCUUCCUCUUCUUCAUAUUCAUCUACCAAAUUGGUCUCUGCUUCGUAGACUUCUUCUCCAUAAUUCUCUAGGGUCUCAGGAUCUUCUUCUUCUACUUCUCCUAUGUGUAACGCUCUAGUGGGGCAUUGGCUUGCAUAAUGUCCUAUUUUAUGACACCUAAAACAAGGGACAUUAU
rnacentral:lncRNA from 1 species